AUCUACGGUACAAAACACGUUUCUACGUUUAUUGUAUUAGUUAAAUAACGUCUCCACAGAGUUGCUUUAUAUGAGUUAUUAUUCUAUCUAGGAAAUGAAAUGUCCCGAAGAAAACCGCAAUUGGCGGAGCUCUGGCGUGUAACGAUGGUCCUUGCUCAUCCGUUUUGGCUGCCAGAAUUCGAGGGGGUCUCGACGACAAACGCACCGGCUUAAGUUACCGGCUCCCGAGCCGUUAAUUCGUCUCGAUCGAGUGCCUAGAUAAAUCGACACGUCCUCUUUCUGGGACGCGCUCGAGCGUGGCAUCGGCCAGGAAGAUUGGCCUCUUCCUCGCAUCCCUGCGACAGAGUCCACGGCCUCUUCGCACCUAACAGCAACAGCCUGUCCGGCGAAUGCGAGCCGUUCAGAUGGCGGAUAAGCCAUCCGAUAUCCGGCUAAUGUUGAAGAUAAAUAACAAUUAUUUUAUAAUUAAGCGACCGAGCGUGGGCAGUAAAUACACGUCGCCGGAACAGGAACACUCCUCGAUGCAAGCAACGGCUAUCCGCAAUCCGACACCGCCUCUGUUGCCUCUCAUUCAUAAGACGCGGACCGGCAUCGAUCAACCUCGCCUUGACCGACUCAGAAAUGAGAUGCACAUUGGUGGAAUCGACUCGAAUGAAAUGUUACCGGUAUCUGCGUUUAUUAGUAAUUAAUCUAAUCGUUUGAAUAUCUAAAUUACACGUUGAUGAAAAAUGAAAUAAUGUUUUUGGUAUAUGACUUUCAAAUUUUUGUCAUUAAUUAAUGAAUCAAUCUCUAACAGAAUUUUCUUAUAAUAAAUAAUCAAUUUCUCUUACAUUUUUAAAAUUAUUUAAUUUUUAUUAAUUAAUUUAAAAAAUUGUCAGGAAGGAAGAGAUCAUACGUAUGUUUAUAUGAUAUUACUAUAAUUAUGUGUAAUGCAUCUUUUAUGUGUUCUUGGAAUCUUAAUUUUUUUAAUCUAAUUAAAAGCAUAUCUUAGCGACUACAAUUAAAAAGCUAUAAUGUGCAUUGAAAUCUUUGAUACUUCAAAGUACUUGAAAAAUGUAACAGAAGAGUCUAGAAUUAUUUCGCGUACUUUAUAAACAAAUAUUCGGUCUACAAGAUUUAUAAAUAGAUUCGACUAACAAUGUAAGUUGUAAGAAUCGAUUUGAUGUAACAGAAAAUAUAAAUUUCGAAUUUUCUGUGUU